UUGUUCUGGGUAUAAGCUUUUGUGUGCAUGCAUCUGAAGAAGUGUGCAUGCACACAAAAGCUUAUACCCAGAACAA